rnacentral:tRNA from 1 species
CGGUAGUUCAGUUGGUUAGAAUGCCUGCCUGUCACGCAGGAGGUCGCGGGUUCAAGUCCCGUCCGG